CUCACACAUGCACCCACCCAGAGCCUCUGAGUCACGAACAAACACGCACGCGCGGGGCUACACACUCGUCCCCCUCCCAGCUUUCUGCUGGAGCGGGGGAACAGGGAAGAUGGCCCGAGAAGGCCUUGGCAUUGCAGUGACCCCCUCCCGCCCCCCGCAUCCGAUUCAGGUCAGUGGGAAAAGAGCCCCGGGACAACCACCCGCACCCCUACAGGAGUCAAAGGGAAGAGAAGGAAGACAGUUAAUUCUGGGACAAGCAAAAAGAACGGUUUUGGAGUCACGGGGGCGUUCCUGCACAAAGGACUUGGAUGUUGUGUUUUUUCUUCUUUUCUGGCGUUUUUCGUUCCCAGCUUUGAAGUCGGGUUCAGACCUCCUGGAGACCAUGGACUGAGCGGAGGGGUGGGGGUAGCAGAACCCGGAAGCCGCGCUGGCCCCUCCUCAAUCGCUCCCACACUCUCACAUGCCCAAGGCCAGUCUGUGUGGACACCGAACGCGCCAAGCCGGAUCCAGGCGAGAGCGGCCACUCGGACAGGUGGGGACCAGGGGUGGGAGAGGGUCCCCUAGGCCUGAGAACACCGACCUCGGGGAAUCUUUUGGGGAGUGGGAGGGAGCCAUAUAGGGAGAAAAGCAAAAUAAAAAAUAUAAGAAAAUUCAGGCGUAGACAUUGAAUUAACUCCGGAUUUUUUCUUUUUUUCGGAGAAAGGGAAAGGGGUUAAACCCAAAUUCGGGUCUGGGUUCUGGGGUUUGGGUAGGAUUCAGUGUAAGCAUAAAAAGCGGGAUGUCAGAUUAAAGUGAAGAAAAAUAAAUAGGGAAUUGUAUGUAGUCCUCUUGCUUCCCGGAGCAGCGAAGUCUAAAAUUCUCAGCUCCAGAGGCC
rnacentral:lncRNA from 1 species